rnacentral:rRNA from 1 species
CAAGUCGAACGAACCUUCGGGUUAGUGGCGGACGGGUGAGUAACGCGUGCCAUUCUGCCCUCAGGAGGGGGAUAACGGUUGGAAACGACCGCUAAUACCCCAUAUGCCUACUGGUGAAAUGAAUUUCGCCUGAGGAUGAGCUCGCGUCUGAUUAGCUAGUUGGUGAGGUAAUGGCUCACCAAGGCUUCGAUCAGUAGCUGGUCUGAGAGGAUGAUCAGCCACACUGGGACUGAGACACGGCCCAGACUCCUACGGGAGGCAGCAGUGGGGAAUUUUCCGCAAUGGGCGAAAGCCUGACGGGGCAACGCCGCGUGAGGGACGAAGGCCUCUGGGCUGUAAACCUCUUUUCUCAAGGAAGAAGAUAUGACGGUACUUGAGGAAUAAGCCACGGCUAAUUCCGUGCCAGCAGCCGCGGUAAUACGGGAGUGGCAAGCGUUAUCCGGAAUUAUCGGGCGUAAAGCGUCCGCAGGCGGCUUUUCAAGUCUGCUGUUAAAGCGUGGAGCUUAACUCCACCAUGGCAGUGGAAACUGAAAGGCUUGAGUAUGGUAGGGGCAGAGGGAAUUCCCGGUGUAGCGGUGAAAUGCGUAGAUAUCGGGAAGAACACCAGUGGCGAAGGCGCUCUGCUGGGCCAUUACUGACGCUCAUGGACGAAAGCCAGGGGAGCGAAAGGGAUUAGAUACCCCUGUAGUCCUGGCCGUAAACGAUGAACACCAGGUGUCGGGGGAAUCGA